rnacentral:rRNA from 1 species
GAUGAACGCUGGCGGCGUGCCUAACACAUGCAAGUCGAACGGAAGGACAAUAAGCUUGUGGCCUUGUUGUUAGCGGCGGGCGGGUGAGUAACGCGUGCAUCACCUCCUUCUAUUUCGGGGAUAAUAACGGAAAAACGGAUAUAAUAACACAGAAUAUUUUGUACCGCAGGGAGCAAAAGAGAUUGACGGCCUUGGUGUCUGAAAUAGAUGGUUCCGCGCUGGAUUAGCUAGUUGGUAGGGUAACAGCAUACCAAGGCGACGAUGCGUAGCCGAGCUGAGAGGGUGAUCGGCCACACUGGAACUGAGACACGGUCCAGACUCCUACGGGAGGCAGCAGUAGGGAAUCUUGGGCAAUGGGCGAAAGCCUGACGCAGCAACGCCGCGUGAGUGAUGAAGGCCUUCGGGUCGUAAAGCCCUGUUGCUGGGGAAGAACAGCUGUGGGUUUAGACGUGGCUAUCUUGACGGUACCUAAUCAAUAAGCACCGGCUAACUACGUG